rnacentral:rRNA from 1 species
GAUGAACGCUGGCGGCGUGCCUAAUACAUGCAAGUCGAGCGAACAGAUGAGGAGCUUGCUCCUCUGACGUUAGCGGCGGACGGGUGAGUAACACGUGGAUAACCUACCUAUAAGACUGGGAUAACUUCGGGAAACCGGAGCUAAUACCGGAUAAUAUAUUGAACCGCAUGGUUCAAUAGUGAAAGACGGUUUUGCUGUCACUUAUAGAUGGAUCCGCGCCGCAUUAGCUAGUUGGUAAGGUAACGGCUUACCAAGGCAACGAUUCGUAGCCGACCUGAGAGGGUGAUCGGCCACACUGGAACUGAGACACGGUCCAGACUCCUACGGGAGGCAGCAGUAGGGAAUCUUCCGCAAUGGGCGAAAGCCUGACGGAGCAACGCCGCGUGAGUGAUGAAGGUCUUCGGAUCGUAAAACUCUGUUAUUAGGGAAGAACAAAUGUGUAAGUAACUAUGCACGUCUUGACGGUACCUAAUCAGAAAGCCACGGCUAACUACGU